rnacentral:rRNA from 1 species
ACUCAAAUGAAUAGACGGGGGCCCGCACAAGCGGUGGAGCAUGUGGUUCAAUUCGACGCAACGCGCAGAACCUUACCAGCCCUUGACAUCCCGGUCGCGGGUUCCAGAGAUGGGAUCCUUCAGUUCGGCUGGACCGGAGACAGGUGCUGCAUGGCUGUCGUCAGCUCGUGUCGUGAGAUGUUGGGUUAAGUCCCGCAACGAGCGCAACCCUCGCCCUUAGUUGCCAUCAUUCAGUUGGGCACUCUAAGGGGACUGCCGGUGAUAAGCCGCGAGGAAGGUGGGGAUGACGUCAAGUCCUCAUGGCCCUUACGGGCUGGGCUACACACGUGCUACAAUGGCGGUGACAGUGGGAUGCAAAAGGAGCAAUCCUGAGCAAAUCUCCAAAAGCCGUCUCAGUUCGGAUUGUGCUCUGCAACUCGGGCACAUGAAGUUGGAAUCGCUAGUAAUCGCAGAUCAGCACGCUGCGGUGAAUACGUUCCCGGGCCUUGUACACACCGCCCGU